UACGAAGGGGGGCUAGCGUUGUUCGGAAUCACUGGGCGUAAAGCGCACGUAGGCGGAUUUGUAAGUCAGGGGUGAAAUCCCGGGGCUCAACCUCGGAACUGCCUUUGAUACUGCAAAUCUCGAGUCCGAUAGAGGUGGGUGGAAUUCCUAGUGUAGAGGUGAAAUUCGUAGAUAUUAGGGAAGAACACCGGUGGCGAAGGCGGCCCACUGGAUCGGUACUGACGGCUGAGGUGCGAAAGCGUGGGGAGCAAACAGG
rnacentral:rRNA from 1 species